rnacentral:rRNA from 1 species
CCUACGGGGGGCUGCAGUGAGGAAUAUUGGUCAAUGGCCGAGAGGCUGAACCAGCCAAGUCGCGUGAAGGACGACGGCCCUACGGGUUGUAAACCUCUUUUGUCAAGGAUCAAAGUGAGGCCCGUGUGACUCAUUGAGGGUACCCGAAGAAAAAGCAUCGGCUAACUCCGUGCCAGCAGCCGCGGUAAUACGGAGGAUGCGAGCGGUAUCCGGAUUUAUUGGGUUUAAGGGGUGCGUAGGCGGUGGGGUAAGUCAGCGGUAAAAUUGCGGGGCUCAACUCCGUACUGCCGUUGAAACUGGAUGUCUUGAGUGCGCGAGAAGUAUGCGGAAUGCGUGGUGUAGCGGUGAAAUGCAUAGAUAUCACGAAGAACUCCGAUUGCGAAGGCAGCAUACCGGCGCGAAACUGACGCUCAUGCACGAAAGCGUGGGUAUCGAACAGGAUUAGAUACCCCAGUAGUC